UACGGAGGGUGCGAGCGUUGUCCGGAAUCAUUGGGCGUAAAGGGCGCGUAGGUGGCGGGACAAGCGUGCGGUGAAAGCUCGGGGCUCAACCCCGCGUCGGCCGUGCGAACUGUUUUGCUUGAGCACUGUAGAGGCAGGCGGAAUUCCGGGUGUAGCGGUGGAAUGCGUAGAGAUCCGGAAGAACACCGGUGGCGAAGGCGGCCUGCUGGGCAGUAGCUGACACUGAGGCGCGACAGCGUGGGGAGCGAACAGG
rnacentral:rRNA from 1 species